UUGAACGCUGGCGGCAUGCUUUACACAUGCAAGUCGAACGGCAGCGCGGGGCAACCUGGCGGCGAGUGGCGAACGGGUGAGUAAUAUAUCGGAACGUACCCAAGAGUGGGGGAUAACGUAGCGAAAGUUACGCUAAUACCGCAUACGAUCUAUGGAUGAAAGCAGGGGACCGCAAGGCCUUGUGCUCCUGGAGCGGCCGAUAUCUGAUUAGCUAGUUGGUAGGGUAAAGGCCUACCAAGGCGACGAUCAGUAGCUGGUCUGAGAGGACGACCAGCCACACUGGAACUGAGACACGGUCCAGACUCCUACGGGAGGCAGCAGUGGGGAAUUUUGGACAAUGGGCGCAAGCCUGAUCCAGCAAUGCCGCGUGAGUGAAGAAGGCCUUCGGGUUGUAAAGCUCUUUUGUCAGGGAAGAAACGGUGGAGGCUAAUAUCCUUUGCUAAUGACGGUACCUGAAGAAUAAGCACCGGCUAACUACGU
rnacentral:rRNA from 1 species